CGGAAUACCACCAGCUGCCAGGGAGAACGAGCUUGGAGCUAGCGGCAGGGCUUAACCCGGCGAAGCUCUGAGAUGGGUUGCUGAAGGAUUCCGGGAGGCAGCUGCAACAGGGCAUCACUCACUGUCCAGGCAUAUCCGUUUCUGAGUGCAAAAGGAAGAACUUGAGCGAGCGGCAAUUGGAGUGAAAAUUGCUUUGUAGUAUCUAAAAGCAGCAUGGAUCGUGGGCAGCUGAGCUGCAACAAAUCAACAGAAAUUCAUGUGAAAAUCAUUGACCACCAUAUGCUGCUCCAGCUUCCUUCAGCUCCUAAUUCUAGGAGCUUGACAACUAAAGCAAACCACAGACAGCCACAGGCACUCACUGCCAGCCCUGACAAAAAAAAUCACAAAAGUCGCCUCACAGGAUCCUCAUUGGUUCUCAGAUAUCCCUUUCAGCAGCGAUGGAAGUUCCUGGCAGAGAAAGAGGAAGCAAUAAUGGCCAGCAAAGGUGACAGCACUGGUGGCAGCAACAGAGAUUAGUAAAAGUGAUGCCUAUGCCUUGUAGAGAAACUUCAACCACAGAUAAGUUAAACCUGCCUCCAGUUUUCAAGCAAAGUAUUCUUGGCAACAGACAUCCCUGUGGGAAGUUGAAUCUGGAGGUGAAAGAGGGCAGAGUCCAUGUGAUUACAGGACCUAUCCAUGGAUAUAUAUAAAGUAGCCAUUUGGAAUAUAUAUAUAUAUAUAUAUAUAUAUAUAUAUAUGUUGUGGAAUACUUUGUUGUUGUUGUUAUUCAGUUGCUAAGUCAUGUCUGACUCUUUGUGACCCCACAGACUGCAUCACACUAGGCUUCCCUGUCCUUCACUAUCCUUGGAGUUUGCUCAAACUCAUGUCCAUUGAUUCAGUGAUGUUUAUCUAACCAUUUUAUCCUCUGCUGCCCUCAUCUCCAUUUGCCUUCAAUCUUUCCCAGCAUCAAGGUCUUUUCCAAUAAAUUGGCUUUUUGCAUAAGGUGCA
rnacentral:lncRNA from 1 species